UGGGGUCCUUUCCACGGAUUCCGUGACGCAGCUAACGCAUUAAGUUCCCCGCCUGGGGAGUACGGCCGCAAGGCUAAAACUCAAAGGAAUUGACGGGGACCCGCACAAGCGGCGGAGCAUGCGGAUUAAUUCGAUGCAACGCGAAGAACCUUACCAAGGCUUGACAUACACGAGAACACCCUAGAAAUAGGGGACUCUUUGGACACUCGUGAACAGGUGGUGCAUGGUUGUCGUCAGCUCGUGUCGUGAGAUGUUGGGUUAAGUCCCGCAACGAGCGCAACCCUCGUUCUAUGUUGCCAGCACGUAAUGGUGGGAACUCAUGGGAUACUGCCGGGGUCAACUCGGAGGAAGGUGGGGAUGACGUCAAAUCAUCAUGCCCCUUAUGUCUUGGGCUUCACGCAUGCUACAAUGGCCGGUACAAAGGGCUGCAAUACCGUGAGGUGGAGCGAAUCCCAAAAAGCCGGUCCCAGUUCGGAUUGAGGUCUGCAACUCGACCUCAUGAAGUCGGAGUCGCUAGUAAUCGCAGAUCAGCAACGCUGCGGUGAAUACGUUCCCGGGUCUUGUACACACCGCCCGUCAAGUCAUGAAAG
rnacentral:rRNA from 1 species